rnacentral:rRNA from 1 species
UACAGAGGUCUCAAGCGUUGUUCGGAUUUAUUGGGCGUAAAGAGCUCGUAGGCGGUUCGGUAAGUCAGAUGUGAAAUCUCCACGCUCAACGUGGAGGCGCCACCUGAAACUGCCGUGACUCGAGUCCGGUAGGGGAGUGUGGAAUUCCUGGUGUAGCGGUGAAAUGCGCAGAUAUCAGGAGGAACACCAGUGGCGAAGGCGGCACUCUGGGCCGGUACUGACGCUGAGGAGCGAAAGCGUGGGGAGCGAACAGG